AUCACGUCAUUUGAUUUAAAAUUUGACCUAAGUUGUUGAUUUGGGUACCAUUAUCCAUAAAAAAAAAAUUAUGGAACCCAGAUGCACCGAAAACGGCAUAUAAUGUGCAUAUUCUUUUGUUGCUGAUACGACUCAAAUAUAAUAGUACCUUAAACAUAUAGUCAUGAUACAUGUGAUUGGGGCGGCCCACCCGUGUCAGCUCUUGUUCAAAUUAACACUUUCCAUCCAUAGUUCUCAACGUGGGUAAAAGAUACCGUAAGUAUGACAUGAAAGAGAUUUUUAUAAGGAAAA
rnacentral:lncRNA from 1 species